rnacentral:lncRNA from 1 species
UAAAUGAUACUUCAAAUUCAACGAAAGAUAUAUGAUAUAAAGUGAUAACUAAAGUAUAAUUCAAAAUAUUCUUACAAUAAUGUUAAAAGAUACAAUGUUAAAAAUAUUCUUACAAUAAGAAAACUGUAAUAGGCCAAUUUUGGCCUGGCUAAAAAACCAUUUACAUAGCCCAAAUAAUUCGGCCCAAUAAGGCCCAAAUUGCUAGCCCAAAAAACACAAAGAGUAUAGCAGAAACCCUAGUAGCCGCCACAGCAAUCUCAUCCUCGCACGCCGCCGCAAAUGUCGCAUAUGCACCUCCAACCAUACUUGCACAUCAAGAAAGAAAUAAACAGUACAUGGAAAGAAAAAUCCAAAGAUUGCGAAUCUAGAUCGAUAUGAACAGAUUUACUUUCUAUGUUAUUGUUUUAUUGUGGCUAUAAAAAAAGCCAUUGAUACACUGUAAUGAGUGGCCGAAAAAUUAAUAAAAAAGAAUCAUUUUUACAGCACCAACAAAGAAUCAAUCGAAACUAAAGGUGGAUAUUUUCGUUUUGUUAUUUUUUUAUACACUGAUAUUAAAUAAAAUAAAAGAGAGAACUUAUCUGGGUUCGGACCUGCGGCGUUGCGGGCGAUCGAGGGUGCCACCCCCGAGGAUUGGUGGCUGAAAACUGAAAGGUUUCUGGACUCCCUUGCGGUUUUUGAUGGUUUUUUUUGGGACUUUUGAACCCAGAUUUGGGUUUAGAGAGGUUGAGGGAGCUGAAUAGGGAAUUUUCCCCUUUUUCGACCACCGUAGACGACGGUGCCGGCGAUGGAGAUCGGCGGCCGACAAGGUGGCCGACGAUCGGACUGGAGGCCAGACGACUGGGGAAGGGGAAAGCUUUUGAAGUGUUUUUUUUUUGUUUUUUUUAAAAGAGGCUGCAAAUGAAAAUUUUUAGAGAAGUAGUGGCUUAAAUAGCCCUCCAAAACGGCGUCGUUUUGGACAUGGGUCGACCUGACUCCAACCCGACCCGGCCUAGGAUCCGCGUGUUUUUGCGCGGAGGGGUAUAUUGCGCUUUUAGCCCCUCCACCUUUUAAUAUUUUUACAAUUAAGUUUAUUUUAUUUUUAAAUUUCGUCUUUAAUUUAUUUUUAAUUUCAAUUUGGUCUCUGUGGAACGGCGCCGCUUAGAGAAAAAGGGAAAGUUUCCCUUCAGUCCCUCCAUGAUUAUUCGCGCGUUCAAUACAGUCCUUUGGGAUUUAAUUAUUUGCGAAUUUGCCCCAGUUUUUUAUUUUACAAUUCAAUUUAGUUUUUUAUUUAUUUUUUUAUUAAUUGAUAAUGUAAUUAUUAUUUUCAUAUGUAAUUAUUAUUUCUUUUUAUAUAUAUAUGUAUAUUUAUGUAUAUAUUUAUUUCCAUGUAUAUAUACGUAUAUUUUUGAAUAUAAUGUAGUUAUUAUUUAAUUUAUUUUUAUAUAUAAUUGUAUAAAUGUAUAUAUGUACUUAUUUUUUUUUAUUUUUUUCAAGCUAAUAUUUGUUAUAUUUAUAUAUGCACAUAUUUAUUUUCGAUCAUGUAUUUAUUAUUUUUAAUCUAUAUAUAUAUUGUAAAAAAACAAAUAUUCUUUUAUAUUUAUGAACACGUAUAUAUCCCUUUUUUAUUUUCAAAAAAUGCUUAAAUAUCUACUUAUAUUUUAACACAUAUUUUAUAAUUUAUAUAUAUAUAUAUUUCUAUACUCUUCUUUAUUUUCACAAAUAUGUAUUUUGUUUAUAUAAAUUUUUAUAAUCUAAAUUUUAUGUAUAAAUUCAUGUGUAUUCUUCAUAGUUUUAAUGUAUAUGUCAUGUAACUUUUAUUCUUUAUAUUUUUUGUUUAUUUUAUUUAUUUAUUUAUGUUUUCAUUAAUUUUUUUAUCUUGCUCGUUUAUUUAAUACUUUGCAUGUCAUUAACUUUUUUCUCCCUUAUGUAUAUUUGUUUCGUUUAUUCAUUUGUUUAUAUUAUUUCUAUACUAUUGUUGUAUUUGUUAUCACGAUAUUUGCACAUAUAAUAUAACGUUACAUCAUCUUUUACUCAAAUUUAAAAAUAGAAAAUUUUCAAAAUUGAGAUAAUGCUCGUAUUUAGGAUUUUCAAGGAAAUUGAGCCCUAACGUAUUGGGUUCCGAUUUUCUUCGUUAAAUCUAACAAUCGAGCAUUUCUCUUUAAUCAAAAAAAUAAGAACUCGUUAUUGGGAAUUCAACACGUUGUGUCCUAACGUAUUGGAUGUGACGCACUGAUUUCUCGAAAUGAAGAUUUUUUCUAAAAAAACAAUAAAGGAAAUAUUCCGAGUUUGGGAUUUUGAAGGAAUUGUGCCCUAAAGUAUUGGGCCGCGAUUUCUUAAAUCUUGAAUAAAUGGAUAUUCUUUUAAAUUUUUAUUACACGAGUAUUCUGGCCUAAUUCAUUUUUAAGGAAAUUAGAAUGUCGUGCCCUAACGCAUUGGGUGUGGCAUUUUCUUUCUCUGAAAUGAUAAGGGCCUUAAUAUGUAACGUUUUUAAGUUUUUGCUAAGGAUUAUAUUUUUCAAAUUUUCGACAUUAAGACAUUAAUUAAUUAACUAGGUACCAAUUUUUGGGCGUAAUGAAGGUGCUAAUUCUUCCUCAUACGUAACCGACUCCUGGACCCGUUUUUCUAAAAUUCGUAGACCAAAUUCGUUUUUAGGUGACCCAAUCACACCUUAAUAAAAGAUUGGUGGGGACUCCCAAUUCUUCCAAUUUUAAUUGACAACUAAUUUUUGUUUUCUUCCAAAAAUAAAAAUGGUUUCGACAGCUUGGCGACUCCGCUGGGGACUUUUGAGAGUCGAGCCACAAAGUUGAUUAAUUUUUGUCUUAUAGUCGAAAAAAUGAAACUUGUUUUAAAAAUCCUCUUGCAUACAUUAUUUUCAUGCUUAAUUGAUCUAAGUACUUUAAAUUGUUUUUUUUUGCAUUGUACAUUACAUAUGUUGGAUAAUUUUACCCUCUAAGUGGGAGUGAGAAACUAUUCCUUCGUGAGGUUUUCACCUUGGUAUAGGAUAGUGGAUCGCUUUCGGGAUACAUCGGUACCUAUGCCUUCGUGAGAUUUUCAUCUCCGUAUAGCCAUAGGGAAAAUGUGUCCCCCUGAACCGAACUUGAUCUAUAUGAGCCUAUAAUGGGUGAAGAUCGAGGACUCUGCUGGUUCGGGUACCUUUACUUUAGAACUGAACCGCAUAUAGUGAGCCUUAGGAACUUGCCCUAGGUAGAACUAUGCCAAACCCCUAGAGGUCACCUGAGUAGGUACUUUAUUUAUUUGCUUUUACUUUGUACUAACUUGUUUUUUAUAUUGUUAUUGUUAUGAUUGCAUUACACUUGCAUCUUAAAAAAGAGGUGUUGAUUCACGUUCAGUUGCUAAAUAGAGAGCUUGUCAUAAGAAAAUAGGUUUCUUGAUAAAGUGGAUGACAAUAUGGUUGUCCGAAUAUGGUCCAAGAACACGUGAUAAGAGAAGGAUGAUAAUUUAAUGGAGGACUACACGACUAUGGCUCCAUUGCCCAAGGAUUCAAGAUGGUAAAGAUUAUUCGAGAGCUGCUGAACCUUCUUAAAGAGAAGCCAACGAGCAUCACGAGGAUGAGUGAGCAACAAGUUACGGCCUGGAUUGAGCAAAAAAGAGAUAGAAGAGACGUUUUUUUGAAGAGUUUGUGAGAUUUAUCUUAACGCUCGAAUGAAGAAGAGGAUCGAAUAUCUCCGCCUAUGAGGGCAAGGCCGUAUAAAUAUUCAUUUUAUGUAAAGAGAUUUGUUUUCUAAUAAAGAUUUCUAAAUAGAAUUGAAUCAGAAUCAACAUCUCUUUAUGCAUUUAUUGCAUGCAUUCGCAUUGCAUGACAUCAUAAACAUUAAAGUCCACUAAAAGAGCCUAAUCGAUUAAAAUCAUUCCUCAGUUAAUCUGGAAACCAACCAACUUGCCAAACACUGCUACGGUACUCGAUCAAAGACUAAAGACAUGAACCAAAGGCUAGAAUAGUUCCAAAAAGAAAUGCAGGAUCAGCUUCAACAACAAGUGAAUUAGCAGCUUGAGAAGAUUCAACAAAAAAUGAUAGAUAAAAUAAUGGAAUCCCAAAAUAAUAUGAUGGCAAAGCUAACCCAACUGUUGACUGGAGGAGGUGAUAAGGGAAAUGGUUCCAUGGCUAAUGUCGAAGAGGGUAUUGAGGAUGAACCCCUCUAUCCUCCAAGCUUUACUCCUCCACAUGUGCGAGUUCAAGCUGAAUAUACGCACAAACCUACUAUCACAAUCAGGCCUCAGCAGUCCUAGGCCGGUGCUUCAAACUUUCAAGCUGGAUUAGGCUCUAACCCCGGAAACAACCCUACUAUAUCCGCCAUUCCUGACUUUGAUGAAGUGACUGAAAAGGAAAGAUUAAAGGAGGAGUUACCAAGACGGUUAGAGGAAAGGUGCAAAUGGCUCGAGGAGAAAUUCAAGGCGAUGAAAGUCACUGAAAGCUAUUGCGGGAUUGACGCUAAAGAGCUGAGCUUAGUUCCAGAUUUAGUACUCCCUCACAAGUUUAAGAUGCCAGAAUUCGAGAAGUACAAUGGGACAACUUGCCCAGAAGCUCAUAUCACCAUGUUCUGCAGGCGAAUGGCUGGAUAUGUUAGCCAUGACCAGCUAUUAAUACACUGUUUCCAAGAUAGCCUCGUAGGGGCAGCAUCUAAAUGGUACAAUCAACUGAGCCGUAGCACGAUUGGUUCAUAGAGGGAUUUAGCACAAGCAUUCAUGAAACAGUACAAUCAUGUAAUUGGCAUGGUACCAGAUAGAAUCAUUCUACAAAACAUGGAAAAGAAGUCCGGUGAAAGCUUUAGGCAAUACGCACAGAGGUGGAGGGAGAUCGCCGUCCAAGUUCAGCCACCACUCUUGGAAAGAGAAAUGACAAUGCUCUUUAUAAAUACAUUGAAAGCCCCGUUCAUCAUACACAUGUUAGGAAGUGCUACGAAAAGCUUUUCUGACAUAGUUAUGAAUGGUGAAAUGAUUGAAAGCGCCAUAAGGAGCAGAAAGAUUGAUGCUGGAGGAAAUAAUAGAAUGCAAGCCUCAAAGGAAAACGAAAGUGAUGUGAACAACGUGAAUACGUACAGAAAAUCGAUUGCUAAUUAGCAAGGUUCAUUAAGACAAGAACUUGGAGUGAAACAAGGUACUGAGAAGCUCCAGUUCACACCAAUUCCGAUGUUGUAUAAGGAGCUGUAUCAAAACUUGUUCAAUGCACACAUUGUUGCCCCUUCCUACUUAAAACCUCGACAACCUCCGUACCCCAAGUGGUAUGAUACGAGCGCACAAUGUGAUUACCAUGCGGGAAUUACGGGGUACUUAAUAGAGAAUUGCAUUACCUUCAAAAAGCUAAUUGAAAAAUUCAUCAACAUGGGUAUUGUCAAGUUGGAUAAUUCAUCUAAUCCGCUACCCAAUCAUGAUCGAUAAUGGAGUGAAUGCAAUAUAUGAAGAUGUGUUGGGAAUGGUUCACAUCAAUGUCAUAUAUGAAGACACAAUUGAAAAUGGACCUUGUUAGAUGUCCGCCCUUAUUAAUUUGGAAGUGUUCAAAAUCAUUGGAUUGCGGAAGAAAUCUCUGUAGUUUUUAGAGCUUAUUUAGAGUAAUGUUCAGAAUAUUCUUGUUGUUUUUAGCCUAAAAAUGAUAGGAAUUCCUUUGUGAAAUAGGCUCAUGUUUGAACAUCAUUAUUCUAAUAAAAUACAUCUUUGCAUUUAUUUUUUGAGCCAAUAUUCUUUCAUUCUUUGCGAGUAAUUAUUCUUUUAUUCUUUUGGAUUUUCUUCCACAUCAUUCUUUCAUUCAUAAUUAUAUUGUUCAAAUAAUUAUUCGUAAAUUCACACAUUCUUUUGUAUAUUCUUUUGUGCUUACUAUAGGUCCUCAGAUAUUAAGGACAUGAGUGACGCUGCUACAGAUUUCGAACCUUCUUUUGAGCGAGAUAUGUGUUUAGAGGGACUCAUGACUUUGAAGAUGACAUAUAUUGUAGCCUAUUUCCAGACUUGUUAAGGAUGGUAGAACAAGUCGAGAAACGGAUCUUACCCUACAAAGAAUCAUUGGGAUACAUGACUUCUCCUUAUGUGGGGCAUGAAGGUCAUUUGGUCGAUCUCGCCAAAAGAGUCUGACGGUCAUCAAUUCAUCUUUGUGAUCGUCAAUUACUUUACUAAAUGAGUGGAAGCUGCUUCAUAUGUCAAUGUCACAAAGUUGACAGUUAGCAAAUUUUUGAAGAAUCAUAUGGAACGCCAAAAGGAUCAUAUCUGACAAUGUACUAAAUUUGAGCAACAGCUCAAUAUCAAAAGUUUGUAGUCUGCUCACGAUUAAUGCCAUAUUGCCCUAAAAAAAAGAAAAAUGAGAGGCCAAGGUGAAAACCCGCAAAGGGCACCUUAAGACCAAAGGGGAUUUGAGUUGAAAACCCGAAAAGGGUGGCUCAAAUAUUGAUCAGAAUGGGGCACGAGGUGAUUAGAGCAACUCGAAUUUUAACCAGAUUGAAGCAUGUGGUGAUCUUGUUAUACCUGAAUGAUCAGGAAAUGGAAGGCAACAUCUUGGGGCAUUGGCAGAGUACUGUGGAUCUCCUAAACACAUGUCAAACUCAGAAGGAUCUUCAAAAAGUUUGUACAGAGAAGUUCAAGCUGGGAUAUCUGGGGCAUCCAAUUUUCAUACUAUUGAAUUUGUUGUUCUUGGAAUACUUCAUUCUUUUCAAAGAUUCACAUUCCCAAUCAAUUUAUUUGUUAUCCUUUUUACUAUUUGUGAUAAUUUAUUCCUUUCGAGCUAUGCUCAGAACUAAUUUUAUUCUCAUUCAUUGUUAUGACAUUUUUUGCAAGCAUGUUGCAUUGGAAUAAUGAUCAAUGAACUAAUAUAACUUUCACAAGGGAAGUUUUUCAUAUUACCCUAGAAGUUUCUAAAUAAUACGGGAACCUGAAACAGAACUAUUGUUUAGAAUGUACCAAGUUUAAAGGUUGGAAAUCUAAGAGGGAAAAGUCUAAAUUGAGACUAUCCCUUUAGAUUUUGUUGUCAAAGCAUUGAUGGAACAAAAUGGCAAGAUGUCAGGUUGGUGAAAAAGCUUAAAUGAACAAGCAAGCAAUGAUCACCAGACAAUGGGAAGAGGUUUUCUCGGAGAGGAAAACUUUCAUUUGUGCAUGAGCCUUUGGUAUGAUACCUUGGGAAUGGUGUAACUGACCAGAGAGAUUUAGAUCCUGCGUCCUUGAAUUGUGAUAGGAAAGGAUUGAGGAAAAGCCAUAUAUUUCUACCCUUGGGUUAUAGUGGGAGAACGAUGGUAUGAAUUUUUGCGCCCCAAUAGAUUAAACUUUGAGGUUUCCAGUGGGGUCAACAUGACUAAAUGUUUCUUCAGAAAAGCCAGCCAAGCAAGAAGGCGUUGUAGCACGUCAGUGUUAAAGCCUUAAUAAUCUUCGAAUAAUGACAACCUAGGUGGGAUCAUUCUCGAAAAAAAAAACUAUGCAUUCAUGCAAACACCAUUCACACAUGUCUAGUUAGGAGCAUUUUAUGCCAUCCCAAUCAUUAGGCAUAAAUAGGUUCAUUAUACAGGUCGCGUUCCCCAGAGAGCAGAUCAGUAAAAAUAACAGAUCUUGCCUUCCUUCACCGACAACGAAGCAGAUCGAAGACACCAGCCUUGCCUCCUUGGGAUACAGCGGAGCAGGUUAAAAAUAGCAGAUCUUGCCUUCCUGCAUCGACAGUGAAGUAGAUCGAAGACACCAGCCUUGCCUCCCUGGGUUGCAGCGGAGCAGGUAAAAAACAACAGAUCUUGCCUUCCUACACCGACAGCGAAGCAGAUCGAAGACACUAGCCUUGCCUCACUAGGUUGCAGCGGAGUAGGUUAAAAAUAACAGAUCUUGCCUUCCUGCACCGACAGCGAAGCAGAUCGAAGACACCAGCCUUGCCUCCCUGGGUUGCAGCGGAGCAGGUUAAAAAUAACAGAUCUUGCCUUCCUGCACUGACAGCGAAGCAGAUCGAAGACACCAGCCUUAUCUCCUUGAGCAACAGUGGAGUAGGUUGAAAAUUACAGAUCUUAUCUCCCUAAGCAGUAGUGGAGCAGAUCAAAGUCCCCAGCCUUGUCUCCCUGGGCAGCAGUGGAGUAGGUUGAAAAUUACAGAUCUUAUCUCCCUAAGCAGUAGUGGAGCAGAUCGAAGUCCCUAGUCUUGUCUCCCUGAACAGCAAUGGAAUAUGUUGAAAAUUACAUAUCUUAUCUCCCUAAGCAGUAGUGGAGCAGAUCGAGGAUGGUAAAUCUUAUCUCCCUGAGGUUGCAGUGGAGCAGAUUAAAACCGAUAAUCCUAUCUCCCUGAGGUUAUAGCGGAGCGGAUUAAAAUAACAGAUCUUAUCUCUCUGAAAUUAUGGUAGAGAAGAUUGUAUCAGAUUUAUCUUUAAGUUACAGCAGAUCGAGUUAAGAGCCAUAAGUCUUGUCUCCCUGAAGUUGCAGUGGAGUAGAUAGCAAAUUUUGUGCUCUUGAGAAACUACAACGUACAAAUCCUAUCUCCCUGAUAUUGCAAUGAAGUAGAUUGAAGCAUUAGCUCCUAUGCAGUAGGAGGGAAUGGAGCUACUUGAAGCAAAAAGAACCCCGAAGUUUAGCAUGGUCAGGCAAAAUUGGCCAUUUCUAAAGUCUUUGCUUCGUUCUCGUUACACAAUAACGAGCAAAGAGGGGCAGCUGUAAUGGGACAAUUUUGGCCUGGCUAAAAAAUCAUUUACAUAGCCCAAAUAAUUCAGCCCAAUAAGGCCCAAAUUGCUAGCCCUAAUCUGCUAGCCCAAAAAACACAAAGAGUAUAGCAGAAACCCUAAUAGCCACCACAGCAAUCUCAUCCUUGCACGCCACCGCAAAUGUCGCAUAUGCACCUCCAACCAUACCUGCACAUCAAGAAAGAAAUAAAUAGUACAUGGAAAGAAAAAUCCAAAGAUUGCGAAUCAAGAUCGAUAUGAACAGAUUUACUCUCAAUGUUAUUGUUUUAUUAUGGCUAUAAAAAAAGCCAUUGAUACACUGUAAUGAGGGGCCGAAAAAUCAAUAAAAAAGAAGCAUUUUUACAGCACCAACAAAGAAUCAAUCGAAACUAAAGGUGGAUAUUUUCGUUUUGUUAUUUUUUUAUACACUGAUAUUAAAUAAAAUAAAAGAGAGAACUUAUCUGGGUUCGGACCUGCGGCAUUGUGGGCGAUCGAGGGUGCCACCCCCAAGGAUUAGUGGCCGGAAACUGAAAGGUUUCUGGACUCCCUUGCGGUUUUUGAUGGUUUUUUUGGGACUUUUGAACCCGGAUUCGGGUUUAGAGAGGUCGAGGGAGCCGAAUAGGGAAUUUU